AGAGUUUGAUCCUGGCUCAGGACGAACGCUGGCGGCGCGCCUAACACAUGCAAGUCGAACGAGAGAGAAGGAGCUUGCUUCUUCGAUCGAGUGGCGAACGGGUGAGUAACGCGUGAGGAACCUGCCUCAAAGAGGGGGACAACAGUUGGAAACGACUGCUAAUACCGCAUAAGCCCACGGGUCGGCAUCGACCUGAGGGAAAAGGAGCAAUCCGCUUUGAGAUGGCCUCGCGUCCGAUUAGCUAGUUGGUGAGGUAACGGCCCACCAAGGCGACGAUCGGUAGCCGGACUGAGAGGUUGAACGGCCACAUUGGGACUGAGACACGGCCCAGACUCCUACGGGAGGCAGCAGUGGGGAAUAUUGCACAAUGGGGGAAACCCUGAUGCAGCGACGCCGCGUGGAGGAAGAAGGUCUUCGGAUUGUAAACUCCUGUUGUUGAGGAAGAUAAUGACGGUACUCAACAAGGAAGUGACGGCUAACUACGUGCCAGCAGCCGCGGUAAAACGUAGGUCACAAGCGUUGUCCGGAAUUACUGGGUGUAAAGGGAGCGCAGGCGGGAAGACAAGUUGGAAGUGAAAUCUAUGGGCUCAACCCAUAAACUGCUUUCAAAACUGUUUUUCUUGAGUAGUGCAGAGGUAGGCGGAAUUCCCGGUGUAGCGGUGGAAUGCGUAGAUAUCGGGAGGAACACCAGUGGCGAAGGCGGCCUACUGGGCACCAACUGACGCUGAGGCUCGAAAGUGUGGGUAGCAAACAGGAUUAGAUACCCUGGUAGUCCACACCGUAAACGAUGAUUACUAGGUGUUGGAGGAUUGACCCCUUCAGUGCCGCAGUUAACACAAUAAGUAAUCCACCUGGGGAGUACGACCGCAAGGUUGAAACUCAAAGGAAUUGACGGGGGCC
rnacentral:rRNA from 1 species